rnacentral:misc_RNA from 1 species
UGCAGGUGCAAAUAGGACAUCACCUUCAACCACAAUCACUUCUGCUGAUGUGGUCAUUGUUCCCUCUCCUCCCAUGACCAAAAACAUGGACGGACCAGGAGCAGAAGGGAAGGUAACAGUUGAAUAUGGGGGGAGAAUGCAAUGAUCCACCUCGAAUUCAUCAAAAGGAGGGAGGUAUCUCACUGUGUAUGGAUUUAUUGCCGUACCGUGCAGAAUUUCAGGGUUACCCUGUCUAUACGUGAGCAUUGAACAGAGAGUUCUAACAUCCCGGUGCUUGGGAG